CCUUCGUCCCAAAAUGACUAUUUUUCAGUUUUUUGAUGUCUUAUUUGAAACUUUUUUUGCGAUUAAUAUUUUUAUUCUUACUAGAUGAUAAAAAACAUGAAUGGUACUUUAUAUGUGACUAAUUUUUUUUAAGUUUUUUGUAUAAAUUUUUCAAAUAAGACGAAUGGUUAAACGUUGAACAUGGAAAA
rnacentral:pre_miRNA from 1 species